rnacentral:rRNA from 1 species
ACGCUCGACACCUACGGAAGGCAGCAGUGGGGAAUAUUGCACAAUGGGGGAAACCCUGAUGCAGCGACGCCGCGUGAGCGAAGAAGUAUUUCGGUAUGUAAAGCUCUAUCAGCAGGGAAGAAACUGACGGUACCUGACUAAGAAGCACCGGCUAAAUACGUGCCAGCAGCCGUGGUAAUCUGAGCGGGCUGGCAAGGC